UACAGAGGUGGCAAGCGUUGUUCGGAAUUACUGGGCGUAAAGGGCGCGUAGGCGGCCUUCUAAGUCAGACGUGAAAUCCCCAGGCUUAACUUGGGAACUGCGUCUGAUACUGGGAGGCUUGAGUGCGGGAGAGGGAUGUGGAAUUCCAGGUGUAGCGGUGAAAUGCGUAGAUAUCUGGAGGAACACCGGUGGCGAAGGCGGCAUCCUGGACCGGUAUUGACGCUGAGGCGCGAAAGCCAGGGGAGCAAACGGG
rnacentral:rRNA from 1 species